rnacentral:rRNA from 1 species
GACGAACGCUGGCGGCGUGCCUAAUACAUGCAAGUCGAGCGAAGCGGCGGAUGGGUGAGAAACGCGUGGGUAACCUGCCCUUAAGUCUGGGAUACACUUUGACACCGGAUGCUAAUACCGGAUACUAAAGGAUGGAGCUGCGAUGCAUUAGCUAGUUGGUAAGGUAACGGCUUACCACGGCGAUGAUGCAUAGCCGGUUGGAGAGACUGAUCGGCCACAUUGGGACUGAGACACGGCCCAAACUCCUACGGGAGGCAGCAGUAGGGAAUCUUCCACAAUGGACGAAAGUCUGAUGGAGCAACGCCGCGUGAGUGAAGAAGGUUUUCGGAUCGUAAAGCUCUGUUGUUGGUGAAGCGGUAAUCAACCAGAAAGCCACGGCUAACUACGUGCCAGCAGCCGCGGUAAUAC